GCCUGGGUGGCUCAGUCGGUUGGGCAUCUGACUUCGGCUCAGGUCGUGAUCUCACGGUCUGUGAGUUCGAGCCCCGCAUCAGGCU
rnacentral:tRNA from 1 species